AACGAACGCUGGCGGCAGGCUUAACACAUGCAAGUCGAGCGCCCCGCAAGGGGAGCGGCAGACGGGUGAGUAACGCGUGGGAAUCUACCCAUCUCUACGGAAUAACGCAUGGAAACGUGUGCUAAUACCGUAUACGUCCUUCGGGAGAAAGAUUUAUCGGAGAUGGAUGAGCCCGCGUUGGAUUAGCUAGUUGGUGGGGUAAAGGCCUAUCAAGGCGACGAUCCAUAGCUGGUCUGAGAGGAUGAUCAGCCACACUGGGACUGAGACACGGCCCAGACUCCUACGGGAGGCAGCAGUGGGGAAUAUUGGACAAUGGGCGCAAGCCUGAUCCAGCCAUGCCGCGUGAGUGAUGAAGGCCCUAGGGUUGUAAAGCUCUUUCACCGGUGAAGAUAAUGACGGUAACCGGAGAAGAAGCCCCGGCUAACUUCGCGCCAGCCGCCGCCGUAAGAC
rnacentral:rRNA from 1 species